AACCUUAUGGACCUGCGGGCGUAUACCUGCGGAAGGAUCAUUACAAGUGACCCCGGUCUAACCACCGGGAUGUUCAUAACCCUUUGUUGUCCGACUCUGUUGCCUCCGGGGCGACCCUGCCUUCGGGCGGGGGCUCCGGGUGGACACUUCAAACUCUUGCGUAACUUUGCAGUCUGAGUAAACUUAAUUAAUAAAUUAAAACUUUCAGCAAUGGAUCU
rnacentral:misc_RNA from 1 species